GUUCUGGUGGCUGGGAAUAAAGGAAGAGGACGUGCUGCUUAUACCUUUAAUAUUGAAGCUGUUGGAUUUAGCAAAGGUGAAAAGUUACCUGAUGCAGUGUUGAAACCACCCCCGUUAUUUCCUGAUACAGAUUAUAAACCAGUGCCACUGAAAACAGGAGAAGGUGAAGAAUAUAUGCUGGCUUUGAAACAGGAGUUGAGAGAAACAAUGAAAAGAAUGCCUUACUUUAUUGAAACACCUGAAGAAAGACAAGAUAUCGAAAGGUAUAGUAAAAGAUACAUGAAAGUGUACAAGGAAGAAUAGAUACCAGAUUGGAGAAGACUUCCAAGAGAGACGAUGCCAAGGAAUAAAUGUAAAAAAGCAGGCCCCAAACCCAAAAAGGCAAAAGACGCAGGCAAAGGCACUUCACUCACUAAUACUGCAGAUGUUUUGAAAAAAAUUGAGGAGUUGGAAAAGAGAGGUGAUGGUGAAAAAUCAGAUGAGGAAAAUGAAGAGAAAGAAGGAAGCAAAGAGAAAAGUAAAGAAGGUGAGGAUGACGAAGACGAUGAUGCUGCAGAACAGGAGGAAUAUGAUGAAGAAGACCAAGAAGAGGAAAAUGACUACAUUCAUUCAUACUUUGAAGAUGGAGAUGACUUUGGAGCAGACAGUGAUGACAACAUGGAUGAAGCAACCUAUUAGGCAUGAAAUUUUUCAAAAAAUAUUUUUAUGCAGCUUCUGAACAUUUGGACAGACUUGUUUUGUAUUUUAUUUCUGAUAAGCUCUAAGUAUUUAUGUUUUUGGGUUUUUUGGACAAAUAUUUGUUACCAAAAUAUUCAAAACCACUUUGAGUUUACAUACUAGUUACCUUACCAAUUAGUCCCUGACACUCUGACAUUCCUUCUAAACACCUCUGCCAUCUCUCUUAUGUACUCUCGUGGAUUUUUUCAUAUUUGAAUAUGAAUGUGCCUAAAGAAUUUAUGCUCUCUUAAUCUGUGUAUAGGUACUUGAAAUCAUUCUUGCUUAACUGCUGAUCUUUUAUAAAACUAUUGCUAGUCAUAACGAAUUUCUAUAACCUGAAAAUUGAGAUAACAGCACAUAGAGCACUUUAAAAACAAAGAAACUUGAAAAUAAUUUUAGUUUUGACUUUAACAUAGUAUGUUCUAGACUACUGCAUUCUGACUACAUAAACCUACCUGAGCUCUUACAAGUGCAGAAUUGUGAGAUAGAGGUUUUGUGAUGGAAAACAUACACACAGGGAAAAAUACCAAACUGAGCAAUAUCAAGUUCACAGCUCACGUCUUAGCCAGUGCAAAGAAACUUUCACAUGGGGUGAAUAUUAUAAAUACUUGAAUAUGGGACUCACUUGAUACUGUAUGAUAUAUAAAUUAUUCAUCCCACUGUAAUAACUUGGACAUCUUCAAAUAGUUGGGCUUAUGGAAAAACUUGACUAAGACAUUUUAUUUUAUCCUUUAUGUAAGUGUGAGAUAAGUUCUGGUAAUAUAAAUAUCACUGUAGAAUGCAUGUGUGUGAACUCUAUGAAGUAUGGUGACCUUUUAUGUUUCAGAAUACUCAAGUUGUACAUUUGAUUUAUUUGAAUGCAAAAUGAACUCACGUCAUUUUGAAAUUAAGAUUAAUUUUUUUGUUUAACUUUAAAGCUAGCUCCCCCAACUUUAUAUAUUUUGGGGGGAAAAAUGCCUAAAAACCUUAGCCUACAAAGACUCUCACAAAUGCCAAAGAUUUUCAAGGAAAUUCAUAUUAUAUAUUUGAAAAAUGAUUUAUCAAUGUUAUCUACCAAAAGAAAUAAUUUUUCUCCUUUGGGAAGAUAUCAUUAACCUGAAAUGUGAGAAUCUGAUCCCUAGAUCCUAUUUCUACCUGUACUAUUAAACUCAACCUUGAA